UAAAAAUAAAAAUAAAAUUAGGCUCGGAAGUCUAUCUGAUUUAGUUGAUUUUUCCUACGUUUUUUUGUUUUUAUCUGCGGGCAUACUUUCCUCUAUCUUGCAAUUAGAUAAGGAAAAGCAGGAAAAGGAAAAAGAAAAACAAAUACUCAUACAGCUGAAUUACUGCUGCAUAAUAAUUUUUCUAUUUCACUUUCUCUCUCUAGAAAAUAAAGGAAAACGAUAAAUCAUCCCAUGUUUCUUUUUCAAUCUUCCUUUUAUUGGAGUUUCCAGAGAUAAAUUUCAGUACGAGGUUCUAACUGCUCUAUUUCGGUGUCAGAGAAGACAGAAGAAUAGUCAAGUGUUGAAGCAAUGGGGUAUGUGGUGGUGGUAUCUUUACCAGUGAUCCUCUUCUUCUUGAUAACGGCGAUUGGUUGUUACCUUCUCGGGAGGGCGCGUGGCAGAAAAGAAAAUCUUAGGCUUCCUCAGCAUUACUAUGGACCUCCACCUGUACCUGCUCCUCCACCUCAACUACUUGGACCACAUACUCCUGCUCCACACAAGUAGAUCUCUUCUUCUUCUUUUUUUAUAAGUAAUAUGCACUAUAGCUUUUAAUGCUUUUCUAUUGUACAAUAGCUUAUUUACUUGUAUAAUUAAAUGUUUUGUGUAAAUGUGACACAAAUAAAGUCUUUUUAUUUCACAUUUAAUUUGGAUAAGAUCGGACCAAGGGGCCAUUACCCCUCCACUCUUAUAA